rnacentral:rRNA from 1 species
UUCAACGGCCACGGUAUCCUAACCGUGCGAAGGUAGCAUAAUCACUUGUUCUUUAAAUGGGGACUCGUAUCAACGGCACCACGAGGGUUAUACUGUCUCCUUUUUCUAAUCAGUGAAAUUAAUCUCCCCGUGAAGAAGCGGGGAUACCCCUAUAAGACGAGAAGACCCCAUGGAGCUUCAAACCCAACUACACCCCUAGUUUCUAUAACUCUCAACCCCCAGGGCCCUGUACAGUUGGUUUUAGGUUGGGGCGACCACGGAGUACAACAAAACCUCCACAAUGAAUGGGACCACCCCCAUCUAAGAGCUACAACCCUAAGAAUUAGAACACUAACAUAAAAUGAUCCAUUAUUUGAUCAAUGAACCAAGUUACCCUGGGGAUAACAGCGCAAUCCAUUUCAAGAGCCCCUAUCGACAAAUGGGUUUACGACCUCGAUGUUGGAUCAGGGUGUCCUAGUGGUGCAGCAGCUACUGACGGUUCGUUUGUUCAACGAUUAAAA